rnacentral:tRNA from 1 species
GGGGACAUAGCUCAGUUGAUAGAGUGCUUGCCUUGCAUGCACAAGGCCCUGGGUUCAAUCCCCAGCACCACCA